rnacentral:rRNA from 1 species
AUACGGAGGGUGCAAGCGUUAAUCGGAAUUACUGGGCGUAAAGCGCGCGUAGGCGGCUAAUUAAGUCAAAUGUGAAAUCCCCGAGCUUAACUUGGGAAUUGCAUUCGAUACUGGUUAGCUCGAGUGUGGGAGAGGAUGGUAGAAUUCCAGGUGUAGCGGUGAAAUGCGUAGAGAUCUGGAGGAAUACCGAUGGUGAAGGCAGCCAUCUGGCCUAACACUGACGCUGAGGUGCGAAAGCAUGGGGAGCAAACAGGAUUAGAAACCCCAGUAGUCC